GGCCAGAUAGCUCAGUCAGCAGAGCAUGAGGCUCUUAACCUCAGGGCUGUGGGUUCGAGUCCCGCAUUGGAUG